rnacentral:rRNA from 2 species
AAAUUGAAGAGUUUGAUCAUGGCUCAGAUUGAACGCUGGCGGCAGGCCUAACACAUGCAAGUCGAACGGUAACAGGAAACAGCUUGCUGUUUCGCUGACGAGUGGCGGACGGGUGAGUAAUGUCUGGGAAACUGCCCGAUGGAGGGGGAUAACUACUGGAAACGGUAGCUAAUACCGCAUAACGUCGCAAGACCAAAGAGGGGGACCUUCGGGCCUCUUGCUAUCGGAUGUGCCCAGAUGGGAUUAGCUAGUAGGUGGGGUAACGGCUCACCUAGGCGACGAUCCCUAGCUGGUCUGAGAGGAUGACCAGCCACACUGGAACUGAGACACGGUCCAGACUCCUACGGGAGGCAGCAGUGGGGAAUAUUGCACAAUGGGCGCAAGCCUGAUGCAGCCAUGCCGCGUGUAUGAAGAAGGCCUUCGGGUUGUAAAGUACUUUCAGCGGGGAGGAAGGGAGUAAAGU